GACGAACGCUGGCGGCGUGCUUAACACAUGCAAGUCGAACGGAAAGGCCCUGCUUGCAUGGUACUCGAGUGGCGAACGGGUGAGUAACACGUGGGUGAUCUGCCCUGCACUUCGGGAUAAGCCUGGUAAACUGGGUCUAAUACCGGAUAGGAGCCAUUUUUAGGGUGAUGGUUUUAAAGUUUUUUCGUUGUGGGGUGAGCUCGCGGCCUAUCAGCUUGUUUGUGGGGUAAUGGCCUACCAAGGCGGCGACGGGUAGCCGGCCUGAGAGGGUGGACGGCCCAAUUGGGAAUGAGAUAAGGCCCAGACUCCCAAGGGGGGGAGCAGUGGGGAAUAUUGCACAAUGGGCGCAAGCCUGAUGGAGCGACGCCGCGUGGGGGAUGACGGCCUUCGGGUUGUAAACUCCUUUCGCUAGGGACGAAGCUUUUUGUGACGGUACCUAGAGAAGAAGCACCGGCUAACUACGUG
rnacentral:rRNA from 1 species